CCUACGGGCGGCAGCAGUGAGGAAUAUUGGUCAAUGGACGAGAGUCUGAACCAGCCAAGUAGCGUGAAGGAUGACUGCCCUAUGGGUUGUAAACUUCUUUUAUAUGGGAAUAAAAUGUUCCAUGUGUGGGAUUUUGUAUGUACCAUAUGAAUAAGGAUCGGCUAACUCCGUGCCAGCAGCCGCGGUAAUACGGAGGAUCCGAGCGUUAUCCGGAUUUAUUGGGUUUAAAGGGAGCGUAGGUGGAUUGUUAAGUCAGUUGUGAAAGUUUGCGGCUCAACCGUAAAAUUGCAGUUGAAACUGGCAGUCUUGAGUACAGUAGAGGUGGGCGGAAUUCGUGGUGUAGCGGUGAAAUGCUUAGAUAUCACGAAGAACUCCGAUUGCGAAGGCAGUUCACUGGACUGCAACUGACACUGAGGCUCGAAAGUGUGGGUAUCAAACAGGAUUAGAUACCCCUGUAGUC
rnacentral:rRNA from 1 species